UUAACUGAAGAGAGAGGGCGUUGCCGUCGUCUCGUUCGUCAACGGCACGCGCGCGUGCUCCGACGCGAGACGCCGAGUCCCGGAGCGCGUUGUACGUCCUGCUCCCUGCCAUCGACGGCGGCGUGGAUCCUGUGCUCUCGGCCGCGCGCGCGUUUUUCGGUCAGCGCCACAGAAGCGCGCGCUUCUUCCCCCAGAUUCCUUUCCGCCAUUCUCCUCCGCGCGCUUCUUCCCCCAAAUUCCUCUCCGCCAUUCUCCUCCGCGCGCUUCUUCCCCCAAAUCUUCCUCUCCGCCAUUCUCCUCGGCGCGCUUCUUCCCCAAAUCUUCCUCUCUGCCAUUCUACUCCCAGCGCCAAAUAAAUCCCCUCGGUAACCACAGGAGCGCCAGAGACCACUCCGGCAACAGCCGAAAUCCGGCGCCUGCAGGCUCCGAAACCGUCUGGAAGCUCACCGGCCCGAGCACAACUCAGCUUCGAGGCGCAGCAAUCCGCUCUGACCCUCCGAAUCGGGAGAGCUGGGGGAAUUUUUGCUGUUGGAGUCCUAGCCUUCGGGGACGGUUGCAACCAUGCGGCAAGCGGAGAAGCAGCGGUGGCGGCGCGGGAUCUGCUCAAGUUCGUUUUGCCUGCUAUCAUCUUCAUCUAAAGAACCAUAUGUCCUUCAGUUCGUUUUGCCUGCUAUCUUGAAUCGUUUCUUCAUUGUCCUUAGCUAUGUCUGUUAGGUCAUGGUUGAAAAAAAAUUAUCAAGUAUAUUACCUGUUGGAUGUAGUGAUAGUUGCUCAGUAGAUUUGUUAGAUCCUUCUUGCUGUUUAGUGUUAGAUCCUUCUCUGCUCUACCUCUGUUAGAAAGAGGAGACCAUGGGGCAUGUCUUAUUUGUUCUGUUUUUUAUGCAUCUUCUGCUAGGUACAAAAUGCUUAAUAACAGCCUUAUGCCUUCUAAUGAAUCUUUAAAAUAACAGCCUAUGAGAAUUUGAAUGGGUAGUUGACAGCUGGAACUUCUGAUGUCAAGUUAAUAUUCAGAACGUUAGCAAAGUGUUGAUAUUCCUGUUAAUAAGACCUGCCUGCUGCUUAGGUUGGCUGUGCCAUGCUAAAAGGUUAUACGACUGAAUGUCUGAAUAUUCUUAUCUGCAACAGUUUAAUUGAAAAAAAGAAGAUAGGAAAAGAGAGAGAGUAAUGGAUUGCAUUUUCAAGGAAUUUGUUGUUUGGAAGUAGUCAUGUGUAUGGUGUAUGGACUAUUGGACUUCAUGAUUUGAUUGUAUCAGAGGUGAUGUCUAAUUCAUGGGUAAAGAAAGUUGGUGGCAGGUCAGCUUGACUCCUGAUGAUGGCUUUCAGUUGGGGUCAGUACUACUGAACAUGUACAGGUGGUGAAAUUGCAAUUGAGGCCUGUAUGUUAGAAAUUGCAACACCUGGAGGCUGGAGAUCUCUGCUCUACCGCUGUCAGAUUUUUGUUAGUUGUUAGAACUAUUACUUCUAAUUUUAUCUGAGCUGACGGCAUCAACUGCAUUUUUCUGCUAACACAUGGAUAAACAUGCUUGUGUGAAUCUUGUUGUUUCUGCAGCUUGUGUUAAUUUAUUUAUUAUUCAGUCAUUCAGUGUCAAGAAUUCAAGCAAUUGGAAGUUUCCUAUGCAUGUAAAUUUUUGCAGGGAUAAAAGUCCUAUAACCACCUUCUCGCAAUUGACGUAGCAUUGAUGUCCAAUGAAGAUAAGUUGGAGCAUGCAAAUACAAUGAAGUGUUUGAAGAAGAAAUUAUUUUCAGAUUACAACUGAGGCAAUAUGAUUUCCAUUAGCUUGGUAAUAUGAUUUCUGUUGGCUUGGUAAAUCUUUGAAUGCUACAUAAUUGUCUGCCGGUCAGUCUUCUCCUGGUGAAAGAUUUUUGUGAACUGCUAUCUCGUGUUAGUUGAACUCUUUAUUUUUGUGAACUGCUAUCUUGUGAAUGAAUGCGGAAACUGCUAUCAUGCAUUCUCUCAAUUAAGCACCGAAAUGACUACAAAAAUCAAGUGUACAUUUGAUCACCGUUUCUAAGAAUCAAUUAAAUAGUUUGCAGACGUCUAAAUAGACGACUCAUUGUACAAGCUAUCUUUUUAGUUGUUUGUGUUUGACAUGGUAAAUCAAAUAGACAGCUGCUGUCUAAAAUGUUAUACGUACCCUCAUGAAAAAUGGCAAGAUAAUUUUGAAAAACACAAUAUAAAUGCACAUAUCACUACACAUUUAUAUUUAUGAGAUUGACAAAGCCACCGGUUAUUAAUGCCCAACUGUCAAUGGGUACAACACACAAUUAGCUAUACUUAGGACCUGUUUGGUUUGAGUUGCUUAUUAUAAACAACUUAAAUUGCUUAUUUGGAGUUGCUUAUUUUUAGUUCAGCUGUUUGGAUACCCUUGCUUAUAAACAUUGAUGAGGUGGAUAUUGUCAUGUUUGCCCCUAAUCAUUGAGAGAGAGAGGUAGGGCAACC
rnacentral:lncRNA from 1 species